rnacentral:rRNA from 1 species
UACAGAGGAUUCAAGCGUUGUUCGGAUUUAUUGGGCGUAAAGGGUGCGUAGGCGGCGUGGUAAGUCGGGUGUGAAAUCUCGGAGCUUAACUCCGAAACUGCAUUCGAUACUGCCGUGCUUGAGGACUGGAGAGGAGACUGGAAUUUACGGUGUAGCGGUGAAAUGCGUAGAUAUCGUAAGGAAGACCAGUGGCGAAGGCGGGUCUCUGGGCAGUUACUGACGCUGAGGCACGAAAGUCAGGGGAGCAAACGGG